rnacentral:rRNA from 1 species
GGUGUGUACUGUCUUGAUGGAAGCUUACCUCUUGGUGGGUCGGCAUGCCCUUCGUUGGGUGUGUCGAUUAACCAGGACUUUUACUUUGAGAAAUUAGGAGUGGUUCAAGCAGCUUUCGCCCGAAUACAUUAGCAUGGAAUAGAUAGAAUAAGGACGCGCGUCCUUUAUUUGUUGGAUUCCUAAAUUCGCCGUAAUGAUAAUAAGGAAUAGUCGGGGGCAUUCGUAAUGCUUGGUCAGAGGUGAAAAUUCUUGGAUUCUAGCAAGACGAACUACUGCGAAAAGCAUUUGCCAAGGAUGGUUUUUCAUUGAUCAAAGAACGAAGGUUUAGGGGAUCCGAAAACCGAUCAGAUACCCGUGUAGUCUUAACAGUAAACUAUGCCCGACUAAGGGAUCGGACAAGCACAAUCUAUGACUUGUUUCGGCCCCUGAAGAGAAAUCUUUAAGUCUAGGUUCGGGGGGGAGUAUGGUCGCAAGGCUGAAACUUAAAGGAAAUUGACGGAAGGGCACCACCAGGUGUGGAGCCUGCGGCUUAAUUUGACUCAACACGGGGAAACUCACCAGGUCCAGACACAAUAAGGAUUGACAGAUUGAUAGCUCUUUCUUGAUCUUGUGGUUGGUGGUGCAUGGCCGUUCUUAGUUGGUGGAGUGAUUUGUCUGGUUAAUUCCGAUAACGAACGAGACCUUAACCUGCUAAAUAGACCCGGGGCCUUAGGGAACCGGCUGUCUUCUUAGAGGGACUGUAGG